GUGUGGCCCUGCUUCCUCUCGCCCGACACCUAGUAAGUCAAGGUAAUGAAGGUAAUGGGAGAUGAUGAUGUUCAUGGGAUCAAUAUCGCCUUGCCCGCAAGUGUAAUCUCCGUAGAGAACGUUCAUGGUGGAGCCAAAAGUAGGACCCCGUUUUUCCUCUGUGUCGUUCUUGGUUGGUUUCCAGUUGCCCACGAAAAUGUCGUGUGCUGAAGGUUGGUUCUUCUUGAUUGGGGUCAUCCACCUCCAGAUAGCGGCCUGGAAAGCAAUAGUUGCGUUCUGCUCGAGAUACUCAGGGUGGUGCAACAAAUCAACUUUUAUACCAUCGCCAGCAGCUCCAUAGUUGUAGUUCCUACAAUCGUAAAGCCACUAGUAGUACUCAGUGGUCAAAAACUACUAAUACAACUACAAAUCACCUCAAAAACCUAGCACAAACAUCCUAUGUUAUACACAGAGAUGCACACACACACACACACAUACAUAUGCAUCCUACAAGUUUCCCAAAAGAUGCACGUAAACUUGAACAGACACAUAGGUCAUUGAUCCAAAAACAAAAGGCACAGAUGAACUUGAACAGACACAUUCCUACUAUGUUACGUGGACUCAGUAUGAGUGUCAAACACGGAUAUACAACCAACAGGGAUAAGCUGAAGUUUCUCCAAGAUUCCUAUGUUUUUGGAGAGUUAUCGGAGGAACAUAUCUUAUAUCCAUAUCUAGAGAUAUACAAUGGAGCCAGACAUCAUUAUUUCAAGAAAGAUUGAAUCGUUUAAUCAGAAUAGUUACUCGAACAGGCAAUUCAAAAC
rnacentral:lncRNA from 1 species